AACGAUCAGUAGGGGUUCUGAGAGGAAGGUCCCCCACAUUGGAACUGAGACACGGUCCAAACUCCUACGGGAGGCAGCAGUGAGGAAUAUUGGUCAAUGGGCGAGAGCCUGAACCAGCCAAGUAGCGUGCAGGAUGACGGCCCUGUGGGUUGUAAACUGCUUUUAUAUGGGAAUAAAGUGAGGGACGUGUCCCUUAUUGCAUGUACCAUACGAAUAAGGACCGGCUAAUUCCGUGCCAGCAGCCGCGGUAAAU
rnacentral:rRNA from 1 species